GCGAGGUUCGCUUAUUGGUAAAGCCCAGUCGCCCGAGACUGAAAACGAGGUUCGAUUCCUCGGCCCCGCACCA
rnacentral:tRNA from 1 species